GACAAACGCUGGCGGCGUGCCUAAUACAUGCAAGUAGAACGCACAGUUUAUACCGUAGCUUGCUACACCAUAGACUGUGAGUUGCGAACGGGUGAGUAACGCGUAGGUAACCUGCCUGGUAGCGGGGGAUAACUAUUGGAAACGAUAGCUAAUACCGCAUAAUAUUAAUUAUUGCAUGAUAAUUAAUUGAAAGGUGCAAUUGCACCACUACCAGAUGGACCUGCGUUGUAUUAGCUAGUAGGUGAGGUAACGGCUCACCUAGGCGACGAUACAUAGCCGACCUGAGAGGGUGAUCGGCCACACUGGGACUGAGACACGGCCCAGACUCCUACGGGAGGCAGCAGUAGGGAAUCGUCGGCAAUGGAAGAAAGUCUGACCGAGCAACGCCGCGGGAGUGAAGAAGGGUGUCGGAUCGUAAAGGUCUGUUGUAAGAGAAGAACGGGUGUGAGAGUGGAAAGUUCACACUGUGACGGUAUCUUACCAGAAAGGGACGGCUAACUACGUG
rnacentral:rRNA from 1 species